GUUUGUGUUCCAGCAUCCCAAGCAGCCUGGCUCCCUCAGUGUCAGGAAGACCGAGGUGAUGAAGAGAGGGAUCUUCUCCUCCGACGUUCUCCUCAUCCUCAUCCCCUCACUGCUGGCCUCACACCUGCUCACACUCGGAGUGGGGAUCUACAUUGGAAAGCGAUUGGCUGCAUCCACAACCAGCACCCUGUGACAUGUGCUUUGGGGCCGCGCCCUGAUUGGCUGCCAGACAGCCAAUGGGAGUUGUAGUCCUAUCGAGACCACUUCUGUUGCCCCCCUCUAUCCCAUCAUGGGGCAACUUAGGACCCAGCCUUUCUUUAUCACACUGUCUCUGUCUGUCUGUCAAUCCACCUAGCAGCAUGACUGUUUGUAUGUCUCUCUGUAUGUCUAUAUGUCUGUCUGUUUGUGUGUGCAUGUACUAGUAAGCCUUAGUCAGCCUGUCAAUCUGUGUACCAGUCAGUCAGCCAUUCAGUCUGUGUGUACCAGUCAGUCAGUCAGCCAUUCAGUCUGUGUGUACCAGUCAGUCAGCCAUUCAGUCUGUGUGUAACAGUCAGUCAGUCAGCCAUUCAGUCUGUGUGUAACAGUCAGUCAGCCAUUCAGUCCUGCAGCCUGUCCGAGUCAGAGCUUGACCCAGGUCACUUGCCGCGACAGGAGAGAGAGAAAAGAUCAAAAGCAAAACGAAGGAUGUCAGAGGAGACAGACUGUGUUGCCAGAUGUUGGAAAGAGACAUCUUUAUUUUUAGCCCAACGUUGAAAAAAGGUUUUCUUCCUCACCAUGGCGAUAAACGUGUGUUGAUGAUUUGACAGACAGCCAUGUCGAAGCCGGUUGGUGGAUUCAAACUAUUCCGGUCAUGCUGUUUCCACCACCUACGGUGCUGGUUUGGCUAAACCCAUGUUGACGUUUGGCUCAGGGAUGUGAGCGCUGCUGGCCCGGUGGAACACGGAGGGAGGGUCUAAGACAAAAGGGUUUAGGACUAAAAAACGAAUGUCUAGCUGUGUCUGUCUAUCUCCUAAACAUUUCGCUGUGUCAUGUGGAACUACCACAACAGUUACCCCAUUAAACAUCUCUCUUCACUGCUC